GAUGAACGCUGGCGGCGUGCCUAAUACAUGCAAGUCGAGCGAACGGACGAGAAGCUUGCUUCUCUGAUGUUAGCGGCGGACGGGUGAGUAACACGUGGAUAACCUACCUAUAAGACUGGGAUAACUUCGGGAAACCGUAGCUAAUACCGGAUAAUAUUUUGAACCGCAUUGUUCAAAAGUGAAAGACGGUCUUUCUGUCACUUAUAGAUGGAUCCGCGCUGCAUUAGCUAGUUGGUAAGGUAACGGCUUACCAAGGCAACGAUGGAUAGCCGACCUGAGAGGGUGAUCGGACACCCGGGAACUGAGACACGGUCCAGACUCCUACGGGAGGCAGCAGUAGGGAAUCUUCCGCAAUGGGCGAAAGCCUGACGGAGCAACGCCGCGUGAGUGAUGAAGGUCUUCGGAUCGUAAAACUCUGUUAGUAGGGAAGAACAUAUGUGUAAGUAACUGUGCACAUCUUGACGGUACCUAAUCAGAAAGCCACGGCUAACUACGUG
rnacentral:rRNA from 1 species